GCCCCCGUAGCUCAGGUGGAUAGAGCAACAGAUUUCUAAUCUGUCGGUCGGGAGUUCGAAUCUCUCCGGGGGUA
rnacentral:tRNA from 1 species